GAUUUUGUGUGCUUUAGAAACCAUUACACCUUUCUACUUUGGAAAAACCAAGUGUUAAGGAAGCAAGGAUGAAAUCCAAUAUUCCUUACAAUAAUAAUAAUAAUCAUAAUAAAAAUUCUGAGAGGCAAUUUCAAGGGAAGCAAAACUCAAGAAUGAAGAAUGCUGUAGUACAAAAUUAUGGCCAAAAAUACUGUAUUUUUAACCAGCAAGAUCAUUGGGGGCAUUAUUAUACAACAUUAGGUGUUUUUUGCAAAACUAGUUCCCAUCCCCAAACAAUAGACAAUACAUGCAUUUGAAUGACACUUUAAGAACAGUAAAUAUGAUUCUUUUUAAAUACUGCAAGUUAAAAAUGUUUUGUGACAAAACUCCCUAAAUACAUAGGUCUAGUUAGGGCUUCCAACACAAUGAAGGGAGGAUGCGGAAGCUGCAUUUAGGGUUCUUUGCAGAAAAGAAAUCCACCCCAAACAAGUUCCAAUCAAAGCCAUGUGGACCGAGUUACACAGUCAUUUCCCACUUGCCUUUCUCAAACCUGAAAAAGUGUUCGACUAAGGAAUAACUUUCCUGUAAUAAUUUUCUCCUAUGGAAA